AACGCGAAGAACCUUACCUGGGUUUGACAUGCACAGGACGCUGGUAGAGAUAUCAGUUCCCUUGUGGUCUGUGUGCAGGUGGUGCAUGGCUGUCGUCAGCUCGUGUCGUGAGAUGUUGGGUUAAGUCCCGCAACGAGCGCAACCCUUGUCUCAUGUUGCCAGCGGGUAAUGCCGGGGACUCGUGAGAGACUGCCGGGGUCAACUCGGAGGAAGGUGGGGAUGACGUCAAGUCAUCAUGCCCCUUAUGUCCAGGGCUUCACACAUGCUACAAUGGCCGGUACAAAGGGCUGCGAUGCCGUGAGGCUUAGCGAAUCCUUUAAAGCCGGUCUCAGUUCGGAUCGGGGUCUGCAACUCGACCCCGUGAAGUCGGAGUCGCUAGUAAUCGCAGAUCAGCAACGCUGCGGUGAAUACGUUCCCGGGCCUUGUA
rnacentral:rRNA from 1 species